rnacentral:rRNA from 1 species
CCUACGGGAGGCAGCAGUGAGGAAUAUUGGUCAAUGGGCGGGAGCCUGAACCAGCCAAGUAGCGUGAAGGAUGACAGCCCUAGGGGUUUUAAACUUCUUUUAUAAGGGAGUAAAUUGCCCCACGUGUGGGAUUUUAUAUGUACCUUAUGAAUAAGCAUCGGCUAAUUCCGUGCCAGCAGACGCGGUAAUACGGAAGAUGCGAGCGUUAUCCGGUUUUAUUGGGUUUAAAGGGAGCGUAGGCGGUUCCAUAAGUCAGCGGUAAAAUCGUGCGGCUCAACCGUACCGUGCCGUUGAUACUGUGGGACUUGAGUUAGAGAAGGGUACAUGGAAUGCGAUGUGUAGCGGUGAAAUGCGUAGAUAUAACGAAGAACUCCGAACGCGAAGGCAGUGUACCGGAGCAAGACUGACGCUGAGGCUCGAAAGUGUGGGUAUCAAACAGGAUUAGAUACCCGAGUAGUC